AUGGUCCUGUCAUGCACAAGCAGUUCUCAAGAUAAUAAACUACAAGGAUGAUGAAAAAUCAUUCAGUCGUCGUAUUAGUCACUUGUUCUUUCAUAAGGAGAAUGACUGGGGCUUUUCUAACUUCAUGGCCUGGAGUGAAGUUACUGAUCCUGAAAAAGGCUUUAUAGAAGAGGACAAAGUUACUUUUGAAGUCUAUGUUCAAGCAGAUGCUCCA